AACGAACGCUGGCGGCAUGCCUAACACAUGCCAGUCGAACGAGACCUUCGGGUCUAGUGGCGCACGGGUGCGUAACGCGUGGGAACCUGCCCUUAGGUUCGGAAUAACUCCCCGAAAGGGGUGCUAAUACCGGAUAAUGUCUUCGGACCAAAGAUUUAUCGCCUUUGGAUGGGCCCGCGUUGGAUUAGCUAGUUGGUAGGGUAAAAGCCUACCAAGGCGACGAUCCAUAGCUGGUCUGAGAGGAUGAUCAGCCACACUGGGACUGAGACACGGCCCAGACUCCUACGGGAGGCAGCAGGGGGGAAUAUUGGACGAUGGGCGAAAGCCUGAUCCAGCAAUGCCGCGUGAGUGAUGAAGGCGUUAGGGUUGUAAAGCUCUUUUACCCGGGAUGAUAAGGACAGUACCGGGAGAAUAAGCUCGGGCUAACUCCGU
rnacentral:rRNA from 1 species